GUUGUUGCCACAGUAAUCCUGCUUAGUACGAGAGGAAUCGCAUAUUCAGACAUUUGAUUCAUGUGCUUGUCUAAUAAGCCAAUGGUGCAAAGCUACCAUCUAAUGGAUUAUGACUGAACGCCUCUAGCUAGACUGCUGCGUGGCCGUGGAAAGAUCCCUAUUCCGAUCCGAGAGGCCGCGGCAAGAGGCGGCCUCGAAGUCGGUGGAUUCUACUUCCUAAAAGGCGGAAUGAUAAACCAUUCGCAGACGACCUAGUUAGAGAUUGGGGUGUCGUGAUAAGUAGACCAGUACAUUCCACUGCGUUUGGUUAAGAGUAAGCCUUAAGCUCUGUCGGUUU
rnacentral:ncRNA from 1 species